rnacentral:rRNA from 1 species
GACGAACGCUGGCGGCGUGCUUAACACAUGCAAGUCGAACGGAAAGGCCCUGCUUUUGUUGUUUGCUCGAGUGGCGAACGGGUGAGUAACACGUGAGUAACCUGCCCUUGACUUUGUGAUAACUUCUGGAAACUGGGGCUAAUACCGGAUAGGAGCUCCUGCUGCAUGGUGGGGGUUGGAAAGUUUCGGCGGUUGGGGAUGGACUCGCGGCUUAUCAGCUUGUUGGGGGGGUAGUGGCUUACCAGGGCUUUGACGGGUAGCCGGCCUGAGAGGGUGACCGGCCACCUUGGGACUGAGAUACGGCCCAGACUCGUACGGGAGGCAGCAGUGGGGAAUAUUGCACAAUGGGCGGAAGCCUGAUGCAGCAACGCCGCGUGCGGGAUGACGGCCUUCGGGUUGUAAACAGCUUUCGAAUGUGACGAAGCGUGAGUGACGGUAAUGGGUAAAGAAGCAACGGCUAACUACGUG